rnacentral:rRNA from 1 species
CCUACGGUGGGCAGCAGUGGGGAAUAUUGGACAAUGGGCGAAAGCCUGAUCCAGCCAUGCCGCGUGUGUGAAGAAGGCCUUCGGGUUGUAAAGCACUUUCAGUGGGGAAGAAAGCCUUGGGGCUAAUACCCUCGAGGAAGGACAUCACCCACAGAAGAAGCACCGGCUAACUCCGUGCCAGCAGCCGCGGUAAGACGGAGGGUGCGAGCGUUAAUCGGAAUUACUGGGCGUAAAGCGCGCGUAGGCGGUCUGAUAAGCCGGUUGUGAAAGCCCCGGGCUCAACCUGGGAACGGCAUCCGGAACUGUCAGGCUAGAGUGCAGGAGAGGAAGGUAGAAUUCCCGGUGUAGCGGUGAAAUGCGUAGAGAUCGGGAGGAAUACCAGUGGCGAAGGCGGCCUUCUGGACUGACACUGACGCUGAGGUGCGAAAGCGUGGGUAGCAAACAGGAUUAGAUACCCCAGUAGUC